rnacentral:misc_RNA from 1 species
UAUUUUCAGUCCUUGCGUUCUGAGGUACGUAAAUAAUUAAUAUCUUGAGCAAAGAAUGGGGAAGUGUCUUGUUAUUCUUUUCUUGCAUUGUAGCAAUGUCCAUCUUACAACUUAAUUAUAGCCAUUUGGGGCUAGCUUGAGACGGUUGGGUUUUGGGUAAAGAAGAAACACAUGCCUAUAAAAAUGGCAAAGGUUGAAUUUCCACAGGCCACUACAUCACAAAGAUAAAAGGUUUUCUUUUAUUCAUUUUUUUUUUCUGAGAUGGCAGGCUAAUGAUAAUUGAUGGUUUCUCAGUUGCCCUGAAGAGUAUAAAAUCAUUAACUUUUAAUUGAUUGAAUCUCACCUUUGUAUGCUUUAAUUCAUUUUGUGAUGAUGUUUUAGGCAGUAUCAAUGGGUUAUAGUGGUACUGUUUGAUUAUAUAACUUUAUCAAUUAAUGAUCAUAUCCUCAAUGAAGUAGACAGCCUUUUUGUAACAGUCAAAACAAAACUAUUUGAGGGUGUUGCUAUCCUUUCCGGCAAACCUAAAAUGAAAUGCAAAACAAAUAAAUAAAUGAAGUAAACUACAUAUGGCAGACAUAUGAUUGACUGUGUUUUGGGCUACUGCUGUUUAGUGUCCAUUGUGUUUCUGGGUUAUGUUACUUCGUAUUCAAGAUUAAUAUUCUAACCAUGAAAAAAAUACUCAAGAAUAUAAUACUUCACCCCAGUCUCAAUUUUGUUGUGUCUAGUUCUUACUGCCUUUUUAAUCUUGUAUCAUUGCAGCUCUAUCAAAAAGGAAUUAAGG